AGAGUUUGAUCCUGGCUCAGAUUGAACGCUGGCGGAAUGCUUUACACAUACAAGUCGAGCGGCAGCGCGGGGGCAACCCUGGCGGCGAGCGGCGAACGGGUGAGUAACACAUCGGAACGUACCCAGUUGUGGGGGAUAGCCCGGCGAAAGCCGGAUUAAUACCGCAUACGACCUGAGGGUGAAAGGGGGGGAUCGCAAGACCUCUCGCAGUUGGAGCGGCCGAUGGCGGAUUAGCUAGUUGGUGGGGUAAAGGCCUACCAAGGCGACGAUCCAUAGCUGGUCUGAGAGGACGACCAGCCACACUGGAACUGAGACACGGUCCAAACUCCUACGGGAGGCAGCAGUGGGGAAUAUUGCACAAUGGGCGAAAGCCUGAUGCAGCAACGCCGCGUGAGCGAUGAAGGCCUUAG
rnacentral:rRNA from 1 species